UCCGCCGCGUCGCUUAAAGUUUUUCCGGAUGCCGUUAUAAUCAGAAAACUAAGAAUUUUAAUAAAAAUAUUUAUUUUAAGUGCACGUAAUAGUCUGAAAAAGUUCAAGUGUAAUGUAAGUGAAAUGGUGAAAGUGAAGUGCAGUGAAAAGUUCAUAGAAUGUGUGUGUGUUUUAUAAUGUGCAGUUGCAUGUGCAAAGUGGAGCCCAACGUUUUGUGAAAGGCUUUAUAGUGUUUAAAAGUUGUGCGGAAGCUAUAAAUAAAAGAUUGUGUGUUUCCUGUCCUUAUAAUAGAGUUUUGGUUAUGUUUUGGUGUUUCCAGCGUGAAUGGGGAAUAGUAAAUUACAAUAACAGGUGAGCUGCACCUGAUGCUGCUUAAGACCCACGUCAUUCAGACGAUAAAUUUGCAUCAUAUGUGAGGGGUUCAUCGGCAAUCGGACACAGAUCGAGACCUCUUGCAGUACAUAUGGGUGCCACAUGCGAGCGUGUUUGCUGAUAACCCCGCGCACAGCGAUUGCACGUCAGUCCGGUCACGCCCUCUUUGCAGGGGCACUGACCGCUCAAAUGGUUGCAAGUUUUGCCGGUAGAGCCCACAGGAUGACAGUCGCAACCUGAAAAUAAAGAAAAAUGUGUUAACAGAAUGGGCAUAAAGUUCGUUAAACAUCUUCAAUAUGAAAAAAAAUUCCUCAGCAUCAGCAGGAAAAUACGAAAGCAAGAUGACAGUUAAGGAAGGAAGGAAUUUGAGGGAACUUACAAAAAGUAACUUUAGACUGGAUGGUGGUUGGGAUGGAAUACUGAAGAUACAACCGGAAAAGAUUGUGAGGCGUGCAAAUCCACUUAACGACGGCCACAGGGAAUAUAUAAAAUAUUUGCUCCAGGCUUAGAAGCGCUUUAAUAAUAAAAUGAUAUAAUAAUAUUUCUUUAUACAUUCUUUUUAAGUUAUUUUAAUUAGGUAUUAAUAUUAUUUAAGCCAAACAUUUGUUAAGUCCGAUUGUCAUUCACAAAUAUAUAUCAUUAUAGUAAAA